CUCUAACCAAAACAAAUUUUGGAAGUUGAAGUUGUAGGUCGAUUUGCGUUAGCUUGAACUGCAUGAAAUUGAAAAACAAAGUUAGAGAAGAAAAUAAUUGGAACUUGAUGAAUAAUGAAAAUGAAGAUGAAGAGUAAAACCUAGAGGACUUUCUUCCUUUUUCCUUGUUGUCUCCGGUUGGAAGAGAAAGAGAAAGAGAAAGAAGAGAUCCAAAUAAAGCAUGUAUGAGAUAUAAUUGAUUUACAGAGAGUAGGUUUUUUUCUUGGAAGUUGUUGUACUUUUGCAGAUGGAAGUCACUUCAUCAAGUUACAAUAGGAGAGUGUAGUUACAUCUUCUUGUUAUUAGUUUUGUACAUCAGUUACAGAAAUGUCUUUUAAGAAACUACUACUAUUUUCUAUUACUAAUA
rnacentral:lncRNA from 1 species